rnacentral:rRNA from 1 species
GAUGAACGCUGGCGGCGUGCCUAAUACAUGCAAGUCGAGCGAACGGACGAGAAGCUUGCUUCUCUGAUGUUAGCGGCGAACGGGUGAGUAACACGUGGAUAACCUACCUAUAAGACUGGGAUAACUUCGGGAAACCGGAGCUAAUACCGGAUAAUAUUUUGAACCGCAUGGUUCAAAAGUGAAAGACGGUCUUGCUGUCACUUAUAGAUGGAUCCGCGCUGCAUUAGCUAGUUGGUAAGGUAACGGCUUACCAAGGCAACGAUGCAUAGCCGACCUGAGAGGGUGAUCGGCCACACUGGAACUGAGACGCGGUCCAGACUCCUACGGGAGGCAGCAGUAGGGAAUCUUCCGCAAUGGGCGAAAGCCUGACGGAGCAACGCCGCGUGAGUGAUGAAGGUCUUCGGAUCGUAAAACUCUGUUAUUAGGGAAGAACAUAUGUGUAAGUAACUGUGCACAUCUUGACGGUACCUAAUCAGAAAGCCACGGCUAACUACGUG